UUAACCCGCGCGCCUCUCUCUCUCUCUCUGUGUGUGUGUGUGUGUCUGUCUGUCCCUUCUUUCUUCCUUCCUGCUUCCUUCCUUCCUUCCUUCCUUCCUCCGUAGUCCGUAGUAGCUGAUUAAAUUUCUUCUCUCUCGCCGGAAUCCUCUCUCCCCGCGACGUCCCAUCCAUGGCGAUAUGCAUCGUCGCAUUAUAAACCCCCUCUGGCUAGCUCCAUCUCUUCGCGAACCCCCUAGCUAGCUACACGUAGGCUAUGCUAGCUAGCCUGCUAAAUAACCACUAGAGCUGCAUGAUGCGCUGCCAUGAUAGAUCGAUAUAUCGGUAGUAGUGGCGCCAUGCAGUUCUUCUUCUUCUUCUUCUUCUUCCUCAUCAGCGCAUAAUAUGCCAACUGCUCUGUACGCAUGCAUGCUUCUUUGUUUCUUCAUCCAGGAAGCUAGUGGAGGACUCCAAAGGGAUCGCAUUGAUCUCACCUGCCGCCCGCCGCUGCGCCUGCGCGCGAGGGGACAAGAUCAGUGCAAUCCCUUUGGAAUUUUCCACUUGCGCCUCCCAUCGCCGCCCGCACACGUACGCCCUCGGUCUCCACGCCCCCCCCCCCCCCCCCCCCCCCCCCCGGCCGGCGGCCUCCAUCCAUGUCUCCUGCCGUAGCUCCCCGAUCGAGCUCCAGUCCGGAAAAAAAAAUGCUUGAUUUUGUGGAUCAGAUGGGAGGAGAGACUGAUUUCUCAUCGAUCUCGAUCUACUAGUAGCUUGCAAAUUAAAAUUAAAGUUUCGUUUCAAUUCAUCCCUUGUUUCCUUUGAUUUGAUUUGAUUCGCCCCUGCUACUACUUGUUCUCCAUUAUUUCUGCUCGAUUAUCAUGAGAAACUCGUCAUCAAGGUACUAAUAAUUAUCUCUACAACUGCUCGGCCCCGUUUGCCACGGCGUUAGCUCUCCUCGCUGUUGCUAGUACGUGGAGGAACCGGAACCGGGGAAGUAAAUAAAAAAUGAUAAAAAAAACACCCCACCAACAGCUUUUAAUUCAUUUAAUUUUGAGAAGAGAGAGAUAAAAACCGACUCUAUAUAUAGUUACUGCAGUACUAGUGUACAUGUGCCUGGAAUCGUGCAUGUAUAUCAGCAUCUGUAUAUACUCUAUAUAUAGCGUUUGAGGUCGUCAAAGAGAAAGAGAGGAGUGCAUGCAUGCUUCUUUGGGAUAUUUUAAUUCCGGCCGGAGGAGGGAACAAUUCCUCGCAACUUUGAGCAGAUUCGUCGCUGUCUCCAACUCAAUUUGCCGUGGACGGAUGCAUCUACAUAUCAAGUGCAAGUGACGAUGAAAUUAAUCAUGGUGGUGGAGAGAAAACGAUAGUCGUAGUGGCCCGGGGAUCGGCCGGAAGAAACGUGGAGACUAUAUAUAUAAUCCAUCCAUCGGUUUCAGUUUUCAUCAACUUAUUAUUAAUUUAAUUUAAUUUGGACAAAAAAUAUAUUCCUAAAGCAUGAAGCAUAUUGCCAAUUUAAUUUGCUGCUUCUUCCUUUUCAUCCCGGCCUUAUUUUUUUCUUUUCUUGUUCGUCAGAUAGAUAGCCAUGCAGAUGGGCUAGCUAGCUAGAUACUGACGACGAUCAUCAAUUCCCUUUCGCUCAUUUCGCAUCUCGAUCGCGAACUGAUUGCAUAGAUGCCCCGCCAUCUUUCUCUUUCAGAACAUACAUAAAGGCUUACAGUUUUUUGACUCCCUACGCUACGCAACAUAUAUAUCAGAGUUUGAGCGAAUCAGAACAAUUUCAGAUGAACCGAGAAUUAAUCUUAUUUAUUCUGAGAAAAAGACGGAUGUGAAGUGAGUGGAUAGUACUAGUAGAUAUAUGUACACACGCAAGUGCACUGAUAUUCUUAUAGCCUAAUAAUAUGACUAUUCGACGCUGGUUAUAUUAUAAUAUAUCAUCAUGUUUUUGCAUGCAUCACUAAUAAUCAGUGGACAUGCUUAAGAUGCAUGUGUAAAUACAUACUGUGUUCAAAGUGGGGCUCUUCCCUCUUUUGCCAGUUAGGGUAAAAGGUGCAGCAAGGCCCAGACAGGACCCAUUUAAGAGGAUUGAAUAUGCCUGCAGCGGUCGGCCCAACUGCACGCAUACGAUUGUUUCGAUCUCUUCUCUGUGUCCUUUUCUCCUUUGUCCAAAUAUAUGCCACUCACACACUGUCACUCACUAGCAGUACGUGCACAGUAUGUAAAUAUAUGCAUAUAUACAUACAUGCAUGCAGAUUAAUUUAUUGCAUGCCUUCUCAUGUGUAUUUGCCUGCACGUUCUGGUGGCCGAUGGGAUGUAUCUAAGAGAAGAAGAAAAAAAAAAAUACUAUAGGUGGUGUCACGCGGAUGAUUUCAUGUUUUUAUUAUGUACAGAGGGAGUCUGCUGCAGAUUGAUAGAAGAGUCUGAAAGAUCUAGUAUACUCAGGUGUCUCUGACAAAAAAAAGAUACAUUAUAUAUAUUCAGCUCGUUAUUAGUAUGUGGAUAUAUAAGAGGACACGAGAUCGAUUAGUUAUAUAUGGUGAAUCUGAGAGCCUCCUAACCUGUUGUGGUAGAGCAGAAAGAAAAUUACAUCUACCAAGUUUCUUCUUGUCCUCAAGCGCAGGCCUGUACGGUGAUUACGAAGUAGUAAUAGUGAUCUUAGCUUGCUAUAUGAAUUAUGAAGUAUUGUUUUUGUUUAAUUAUAAUCGAAGAUUUCUUAGCUUGAAGCAAUUUUUGUCUAUCUCAUUUUUUCUUCCUCUGAUGUCAAAUCUCAAGGCAGCAUUCAGUUUGAGCUAUAUUCAUUGAUAAUUAGUAGUGUUCAAGUCUCUCAUAUAUUUGUCCAAGUCUCCCCACACGCUUGUACAUUAUAUUGCAAAGUUGUGUCUACCAUUCUUCCCCUAAAACAUUGACAGAUUAACCAUAAACUUGCUCUUGUAAUUAAUGUUGGAGCUACUGCUACAUCCGGAGUAGCGUGUGGAUUUGGUCCGAAGUGCUUCAUUGAUUUUUCAUGGUCAUGUCAAGACAUUGGUGAUAGUUUUUCUGCGUGCAGGUCCCUCCCAUAGACAUUCCUAUGGUGUACUAUUUUUAUUAACAUGAAAAAUCCAAUUGAAAUAGUGAUUGAAUUCUACACGACUACUGUCUCUUUUCAUAUAUGUUCUAUCUAGAAUUAUAUGAUCAUUGUGGUAGUUUUUACCACUUGAGAGCAAAAGUGAUGAUUUUUUUAAACUUCGCUUUACAUUAAUUUUUUAGUUACCUUUUCCAACAUAUGGAAAUCAUCACUACUAUUUAGUAAAUUUUAAUUUUACUUAACUUAUUUACAAAUUAUAAUAUAUACAUAUUGUUUACUUAGGUUUUAUUUUUUUCAUUUGUUUGGAGACCAAACUAUUAAUUUUUCAUACUCAUUAUAUUAGAAAUCUCCAAUUACAAAUUGUGUUCUACUUCAAAUCUAAAUUUAGUUCUUUUUAUGUUCAACUAGUAUGGAGAUCAAAACACUUAUUUUUAAUUUACGUUUUAUUUUAUUAUCUACUAAUUGUAAUAGGUAUGGGCUCUUUGGUUAAUAUAAGUCGUCAGAUCAUCAUAAGUUUAAUGGUAUUUGUUUUUUCUUUUCUUCCAAGUAAUAUCAUAAUUGUAUUACGCUUGGAAUCUUUGGUUCAAUCUAAGCCAUUAAAUCAUCAUAAAGUCUAGUGACUUUUUUUUUAUUUUCCAUUAUUCUUGCUUUUGUAAUUACAUAAAUUUUAAUAGCAUAUGUCAUUUUUUUAUUUUUUAUGAUUCAUAUCAUAAGGGAUUGUUUGGUUUAAUCUAAACUAUUAAAUCAUUAUAGAAUCUAGUAAUGGAGAUUCUUUUGGAUGUUGAGAGGCAAAGAGAUGAGUUAUUUAUUUUAACUUUACUCAUAGUAAUACACUAGUAUUUUAUCUAGGUGUUUCUUUUGCAACAUAUAAAAAUCAAACUAUUAUUUUUGUAAUUUAUAACUUAUUUAUUUACAAAUUAUAGUUUAUGGGCACUAUAUACUUAGAAGACAUUAGGAGUUGAAACUAUCAAUCUUCAUAGUUUUUAUUAAAAUAUUGUCUUUUACACAGUUUAAUUAUUGGUUUUUUCAAUCAGUAUGGAGAUUAAUUUGUUAUAUUUAUUUGGUUGAUUAGUUUCAAUUUACUAUUUUUGAAUA